AGGUGCAAGAUAUCUGCAAGCGAAGAGACUAGAACACCCAAGGCCGCUUUCCUUUUAUGGAGUUGUUUUUCUGCUAAUGCAGCACUGUCCUCACAACCCCCUCCUGUGUCCGGUUGUCUUCAUUCUCCGCCAGCCUGGAUCCGCUCCAGGCCAAACUGGAACGGGUGGGAGGACAUCGGCCGUGGUCUGAGUGAACGGAGUUUGGACAAAAGCUGUGUGCACACAAAAACAAGGUAAGCAGACCUUUUAUUUCUGCUAUAUUGAACAUUAUAAAAAUACUUAGUGUCCAAACUCCUAGUAAUUCAUAACCAAAAUUGUCUGGCUUACUUAAGGC
ensembl:lncRNA